rnacentral:rRNA from 1 species
ACGGGAGGCAGCAGUGGGGAAUAUUGCACAAUGGGGGAAACCCUGAUGCAGCGACGCCGCGUGAGUGAUGAAGUAUUUCGGUAUGUAAAGCUCUAUCAGCAGGGAAGAUAAUGACGGUACCUGACUAAGAAGCACCGGCUAAAUACGUGCCAGCAGCCGCGGUAAUACGUAUGGUGCAAGCGUUAUCCGGAUUUACUGGGUGUAAAGGGAGCGUAGGUGGCAAGGCAAGUCUGAAGUGAAAGCUCGGGGCUCAACCCCGGAACUGCUUUGGAAACUGUUUAGCUAGAGUACAGGAGAGGAAAGCGGAAUUCCUAGUGUAGCGGUGAAAUGCGUAGAUAUUAGGAGGAACACCAGUGGCGAAGGCGGCUUUCUGGACUGACACUGACACUGAGGCUCGAAAGCGUGGGGAGCAAACAGGAUUAGAUACCCUGGUA